rnacentral:rRNA from 1 species
GUGAGGAAUUUUCCGCAAUGGGCGAAAGCCUGACGGAGCAAAGCCGCGUGAAGGAUGAAGGCCUAUGGGUUGUAAACUUCUUUUCUCAGAAAAGAAUUAUGACGGUAUCUGAGGAAUAAGCAUCGGCUAACUCUGUGCCAGCAGCCGCGGUAAGACAGAGGAUGCAAGCGUUAUCCGGAAUGAUUGGGCGUAAAGCGUCUGUAGGUUGUUUAAAAAGUAUUCUGUCAAAGAUUAGGGCUUAACCCUAGAUAGGCAGAAUAAACUUUUAAGCUAGAGUUUGGUAGAGGCAGAGGGAAUUCCCGGUGGAGCGGUGAAAUGCGUAGAUAUCGGGAGGAACACCAAAGGCGAAGGCACUCUGCUGGGCCAAUACUAACACUGAGAGACGAAAGCGAGGGGAGCAAAUGGGAUUAGAUACCCCAGUAGUCC